rnacentral:tRNA from 2 species
GGGCUAUUAGCUCAGUUGGUUAGAGCGCACCCCUGAUAAGGGUGAGGUCGGUAGUUCAAAUCUCCCAUAGCCCA